UGAGCAUGAGCUGGAAACCAUAGCGGAGCGUGCUGCUGGUGGUCUCCGUGCCGGCGAAGAAGAGGGAGAGCACCGUGCAGAUGAGGUUCCGAUGGUGGAAUUCGCUGUUGGGGUCGGACUUCUCCUGAAUCCGAGCGGGCCGGGCAGACGCCCAGAGACUCCACAGGCGGUGGCAGAAGAGUAUGAAAUUCUAUACCCACCGCUUGCGCCCAGAGACCUCCGCGUGCCCACCCACCCGCCCACUCUGGGGCCAGUGCCCACACACUUGAACGGAGCAGGGACGCCUCUGACCAUCUGACCACCAGCUACCAUGCUUCACCUCCAUGCACCUUCCUCACCAACCUUCAGACACCCCACCCCCGGAGCCUGAAAGGAUGCCUUCACUCCUUCUGGGGAGUGAUCCCCAGGUCCACGGGCAAAUAUUCCCCAAGAAGGCCAGAGGACGGGGGCCUGGCGGGAGGCGGCCAUGGGCCUUCGGAUGGCCUCUGGCCAGCAGAAGCAGGAGUCCCGUGAGGACAGCAAGAAGGAGAACGACACUGAGCUCCAUGGCCCGGCCCAAC